ensembl:lncRNA
GAGGACACACUGUAUCUUUAUUUCUCUUUUAUCUAGCAUAUACAAUAAAUGCUGAAACAUGCUUAACGUUUGGAGUUGUGUAUUCAAUAAAUUCAAUAAACAGAUAAGCAGUGAUACACCAAAUACAGAAUUGGAUUUUAAUAAAACAAUUUAAUAAAACAAGGCACAAUGUUUAAGGCAAAAUUUAUGAAGAAAGUAUAUAAAGUUAAUAUAAGAUCAUAUUUUUUAAUAUCCUUUGGGGAAAGAGGCACAAGAAUUAAAAAUAGCUUAAACAUUUUUUUAGAAUAUUAGCCAUAAGAAAGUAAAAUAAAUUUGAUACAAUAGGACUCUAUUUUUUCCAGAAAACAAACUCCACUGUUGAAUCAUAUUUCUGAGUUCCAUUUUAAUCAUAUAUAUAUUUAUACAGAUAUUUCUAAUACACAGACUUUAAGUACAGAAAAUUAAGAUGUCAGAGCAUAUGUAAUGAUUUGACCAAAAUAAAAGGUUAACAUUUUUUCAGCAUCUUUUGUUGUUUUCGAAACCCCCGACUUUAAAAAGCUAAGACUUGGUUGUUAUUCCCCGUUGCUAUUUUUCACCCUCACACAGUGGGCUGAGAAUGGGACACACAUGACUAUCAGAAAGUGACUGGUGGGUUAACACUGUUUCUCAGAACAGCAGUGCUGACCGUGUAAACUGCGCAGUGACUCUCUUAACGACCCCUACACAAACCAACCAACUUAGUUAUGGCUCCUGCCAGCAAACGGCAGUGCCACCACAGCUAAGACCCCAGCUAGGGGAUUAGAUAAUACAGUUAUAUUCCAUUUAUUUAUGGCCAGAAGAAUCGAGUCUAUUCUCAUGAAUGCAGAUAGUUUCCUGCAUGUAAAUAGCCUUCAUUAAGCCACUAGAUUUAAAACAUACACGAGACCGGCAAUUAUAUCAACCACUGAGGCUGACUAAAGUUAAGUAAAAGCCUUGCAGCACCCAUAAAAACACCUUCUAAAUAUUCAACUUUGUGAGUUAUUGGAAUGCUUCUUAAUUCAAUCCGUAGUAAAUACAGAUCACACACACUAUAUAUAUAUAACAUAAAGAAUGAAAGUUUUUAUUCAUAUUAAACCACCCCCCUUCUGACCUAUAGGAAAGCUUGCUGAAACAUGCUAGACCCCAGUGACAAUAUUUUCAUAAAAUGGUGGAACGUCUCUUAUCUUUGUGGUAGUAUAUGGAUUUUAAAUAAAAUACUAUACAAAAGAUACACAGUUUGACAGGGGGUUGGUGGCGGCAGGGGUGGAGCUCCAUCCUUGACUCUGGAGAGAUUCUCUGGCACAGUGAUUAAAAUUCCCUCCCCAGCUGCCCCACACACACAGUGGGCCCUGUUGAGGGCAAAGGAACCUCAGGAGCAGUGUUUCUCCCUCAGGUCAAAUACAGAUCACACAGCUCCUGCCGACAAGUUAUCAUAUAGUAGCCGGUCUUUCCCACACAGGACUAGUGGAAGACUUUGGCACUUUCACACCACAAAGGACAAUGCUGCCUACUAUACUAUUAAAAAGAUCACACUAUGACGGAAAUAUAAAACCGCACGCUACUGAGUUAGUGACACGGAACAUUCUAUGCCUACUGUACAGCUAGUGAAGGCUAAAGAGACACUCUCCUUAAGCACUGGAACAGAGCUCUGUGCUGUCGGCCAUGCUGCCUAAAAGCCUACACAGCACCUUCACUGGGUUAUACGCCUAGUCUGACUUAAAAACUCAACAUUUUGGACUAUACAAAGAGCAAAACUUAUAAUAAAACCUCUACUUUUAGAUGAAAGGCAAAUCAUUUAGGUAAAGGCACUUUAAGUAACUGCAGCUAAAUGAUCUUACACAUACAUGUUUACUGGUAAAACUAUUUGCAAGCAUUCACAUGGAAACCUAAGAGAAUAAGCAUGUAUUUUAUAUGUUAAUAGCACUACUAAAUACUUAAUUGCAGUUUUUAAAAAUACAACAAAAGGCAAACAUUAACCGAGGUCCCCUGCUGAUAAAAACAGCAGGUCAAGGAGGGACUAUUUUCCAGCUCUGGGAAGAGCAAGGCUGAGGAGAGCCUGCAGCUCACUGGCUCCCUUCAUGAGGAGCAGUGUGAACGGCUUCCCAGCAGCAGGAACCAAUCUAGUAAUGAAUAAUAAUUAAUAAUUACAAACUUAGUGAUAAGGUUUUUAGAUAAUAGUAUGCCACUUGGUAAAUACACUUUAAAACAAUUCUUUACUCUGCAGGGCCAUUUCGGCUCAGGACUUGCCUGGGUCACUAUGA